GGACCGAACAAGAGGUGAAAGGCAUGAAAAUAAUUGGGAUUAUAUUUCUUUUGUCGCACAUACCAUAUGUCCUUCACAAGGAGCCGAUGGGUGGUUAGAUAGGGAUUAGUGUUUAGGUCUAAUUCAAACACCUUUUGAAUUCAAACCCUAACAACCCGUUCCUAUCCUAAGUGGGCAACAAAGAGAGGUGUUUACUGGGGUAUAUCUCAUGCACAAAUCAGAUUCAUGCAUCAGGAUAGGCAUGA
rnacentral:lncRNA from 1 species